rnacentral:misc_RNA from 1 species
UCUCCGUUGGUGAACCAGCGGAGGGAUCAUUACAGAGUUGCAACACUCCCAAACCACUGUGAACACACCCGUACCGUUGCCUCGGCGGGCGGCCCCAGGGCGGGCUGCAGCCUCCUAGCGGAGGCGCCCGCCGCAGGUCACACAACUAUACUCUUCAUUGGCCCCUCUGAGUACACUCCAAACAAUCAAAACUUUCAACAACGGAUCUCUUGGUUCUG